rnacentral:rRNA from 1 species
GAUCUGUCCUUAGUACGAGAGGACCGGGAUGGACAUACCUCUGGUGUACCAGUUGUUCUGCCAAGAGCACCGCUGGGUAGCUACGUAUGGAUUAGAUAAUCGCUGAAAGCAUCUAAGUGAGAAACUAACCUCGAGAUGAGAUUUCCCAUUCGUCAGAAGUAAGACCCCUGAGAGACGAUCAGGUAGAUAGGCUAGAAGUGGAAGUGUAGUGAUGCAUGGAGCGGACUAGUACUAAUAGGUCGAGGACUUAACCAAG